AGCCUUUUCACAGUGUAUAUGCCAUUAUAGAGUGAAGCAAUUUGGCACGGGCUACAAAAUGUUUUUGUGUUUUUGAUGGAAGAAGCAUUCAAGGUUAAGGCAUACAGUACUCCACUUGGAAACAUCAGAGGCAUUUAUUACACUGGACAAUUUUGUUUGAAAGUAUUGUUUCCUCAGAAUUCUUUUUGUUUUUGAUAG